UCUUCGGAUCGUAAAACUCUGUUAUCAGGGAAGAACAAGUACCGGAGUUACUGCCGGUACCUUGACGGUACCUGACCAGAAAGCCACGGCUAACUACGUGCCAGCAGCCGCGGUAAUACGUAGGUGGCAAGCGUUGUCCGGAAUUAUUGGGCGUAAAGCGCGCGCAGGCGGUUCUUUAAGUCUGAUGUGAAAUCUUGCGGCUCAACCGUGAGCGGUCAUUGGAAACUGGAGAACUUGAGUGCAGAAGAGAAGAGCGGAAUUCCACGUGUAGCGGUGAAAUGCGUAGAGAUGUGGAGGAACACCAGUGGCGAAGGCGGCUCUUUGGUCUGUAACUGACGCUGAGGCGCGAAAGCGUGGGGAGCGAACAGGAUUAGAUACCCUGGUAGUCCACGCCGUAAACGAUGAGUGCUAAGUGUUAGAGGGUUUCCGCCCUUUAGUGCUGCAGCAAACGCAUUAAGCACUCCGCCUGGGGAGUACGGCCGCAAGGCUGAAACUCAAAGGAAUUGACGGGGGCCCGCACAAGCGGUGGAGCAUGUGGUUUAAUUCGAAGCAACGCGAAGAACCUUACCAGGUCUUGACAUCCUUAUGCCUGCCCUAGAGAUAGGGAGUUCCCUUCGGGGACAUAAGUGACAGGUGGUGCAUGGUUGUCGUCAGCUCGUGUCGUGAGAUGUUGGGUUAAGUCCCGCAACGAGCGCAACCCUUG
rnacentral:rRNA from 1 species